rnacentral:rRNA from 1 species
GACGAACGCUGGCGGCGCGCUUAAUACAUGCAAGUCGAGCGAGAACCGGAGCUUCGGCUCCGGGGACAGCGGCGAACGGGUGAGUAACACGUGGGUAACCUGCCCUCGGCACCGGGAUAGCCCGGGGAAACCCGGAUUAAUACCGGAUGGCCCUUUCGGUCUUCGGACCGGUCGGCAAAGGUAGCUUCGGCCUCCGGCCGAGGAUGGGCCCGCGGCGGAUUAGCUUGUUGGUGAGGUAACGGCUCACCAAGGCUCCGAUCCGUAGCUGGUCUGAGAGGACGAUCAGCCACACUGGGACUGAGACACGGCCCAGACUCCUACGGGAGGCAGCAGUAGGGAAUCUUGCGCAAUGGGCGAAAGCCUGACGCAGCGACGCCGCGUGCGGGAAGACGGCCUUCGGGUUGUAAACCGCUUUCUGGAGGGACGAAGCCACUCGGGUGAAUAGCCCAGAGGGUGACGGUACCUCCAGAAGAAGCCCCGGCUAACUACGUGCCAGCCGCCGCCGUAACAC